CCCACCACCACUUCGGAGAAACGCAGCAACCAGUGGAGUCCGUUUUGGCCUCUGCCAUGGAGCCAUGACCGCAAUCGUUCGGAGGGGGGGAGAUCAAAAUGGCCCUUUUCGCUAACACCAAUCUGAAAUGUAUCCACAGAUGGAGUUUGAUAGUAGAGUGGCGUACAUGUUAUAUACUUGGAGCACAUGUGAGCGGAUGUGUCGGCGAUUAGUAACGAGUUGUACCGACGAGACAGCUUUUCUAACCCUUGAAAACUCGGCCUUGGUGACAAGUCUCGGAAGUGUUCAGUUCAGAGCUACGAGUAGUUCCAUGAACGAACUCAUUCAAACUUCACUCAAAACUUCACUCCAAAAACGAGAUCAGUUGCUCAUUGAC
rnacentral:misc_RNA from 1 species